rnacentral:tRNA from 1 species
GACACUUAGGUUAAUUAAACCUUAGGCCUUCAAAGCCUAAAAUAAGACACAUCUCUUAGUGCCUGAAGGCCC